GCUCGUAGUUGGAUCUCAGUUCCACAGGGGUGGUCCGUCUGCCGAUGGUUACUGACUGUCCUGAACAGCCAGCCGGUUUCCUUUGAUGAUCUUCACCGAUUGUCUUGGAUGACCGGUGAGUUUACUUUGGAAAAAUUAGAGUGCUCAAAGCAGGCGUGACGCCUGAAUAAUGUUGCAUGGAAUAAUGGAAUAGGACCUCAUUUCUAUUUCGUUGGUUUUCGGAAUACGAUGUAAUGAUUAAGAGGGACAAACGGGGGCUAUAAUAAAUCAGUAGGAACAGAAACAUUUUCUCUCCCAAUUGUCAGAAAAUUCUAUAAGUCUUCAUAGAUUUUAGCUUUCCAAAUUAUUUUUAUAGUCAUAAGC
rnacentral:ncRNA from 1 species